UCGAAAUAAGCAUGUAGCAGGUUGUCGCUGGCCCUCUCAAGGGGUCGUGCACACUUGUUAUUUCUUCAUUUCUCCAUCUCUUUGUGCAUCCACUAGAUGGUCUCUGGAGAGAAAUGGGGUCUCUCUGGACAAUUGAGGACUGCUUUGCAAAAUAUAUUGCGGGCUUUCCUUGUUGAUCACAAUAUAUCAUAUACUCCUGUUAAUAAUAGAGAAGGGUUUAUAAAAGAUUUUUUAUA
rnacentral:misc_RNA from 1 species